rnacentral:rRNA from 1 species
AUUGAACGCUGGCGGCAGGCCUAACACAUGCAAGUCGAGCGAGCGGCGGACGGGUGGGUAAUUCCUAGGAAUCUGCCUGGUAGUGGGGGAUAACGUCCUGAAACGGGCGCUAAUACCGCCUAUCAUCAGCUGUGCCCACAGGGGAGUAGUUAGCUGGUGGGGUAACGGCUCACUAAGGCGACGAUCCCUAGCUGGUCUGAGAGGAUGACCAGCCACACUGGAACUGAGACACGGUCCAGACUCCUACGGGAGGCAGCAGUGGGGAAUAUUGCACAAUGGGCGCAAGCCUGAUGCAGCCAUGCCGCGUGUAUGAAGAAGGCCUUCGGGUUGUAAAGUACUUUCAGCGGGGAGGCGUUACCCGCAGAAGAAGCACCGGCUAACUCCGUGCCAGCAGCCGCGGUAAUAC